UUAUCCGGAUUUAUUGGGUUUAAAGGGAGCGUAGGUGGAUUGUUAAGUCAGUUGUGAAAGUUUGCGGCUCAACCGUAAAAUUGCAGUUGAAACUGGCAGUCUUGAGUACAGUAGAGGUGGGCGGAAUUCGAGGUGUAGCGGUGAAAUGCUUAGAUAUCACGAAGUACUCCGAUUGCGAAGGCAGCUCACUAGACUGUUACUGACACUGAUGCUCGAAAGUGUGGGUAUCAAACAGGAUUAGAUACCCUGGUAGUCCACACAGUAAACGAUGAAUACUCGCUGUUUGCGAUAUACAGUAAGCGGCCAAGCGAAAGCAUUAAGUAUUCCACCUGGGGAGUACGCCGGCAACGGUGAAACUCAAAGGAAUUGACGGGGGCCCGCACAAGCGGAGGAACAUGUGGUUUAA
rnacentral:rRNA from 1 species